AAAUUUGGAAGUCAAUUAUUAUACUAAAUUAUAUACUUCAACAAAACCUGAUACAGAAAAGGUAACACAAUACUUUGAAACUAUCAAAGAAAGUAAAAUAAUAAAUGAAUCUGAAAGUAAUACAUGCGAGGGAAAAAUUACUAUAAGUGAAUGCACAGAGGCUAUAUUUAAGAUGAAAUUAAACAAGGCCCCAGGGCUGGAUGGACUGAACGUGGAGUUUUAUAGAAAAUUUUGGGAACAGAUUAAAGAUUUCAUAGUACAAGUUUUCAACUAUUGCUAUAAAAAAGGAGAAUUAACAAAUUCCGAAAAAAUUGGAGCCAUAUCUCUUUUGUUUAAAAAAAAUGAUCCCCUCUCCCUUGAUAACUAUAGACCUAUUACAUUAUUAAACUAUGACGUUAAAUUACUAGCUUAUGCCUUAGCGCAACGAUUAAAAUCAGUACUACCAAAAAUUAUUCACUCUGAUCAAAAAGGUUACAUAAAAAACAGAUACAUAGGUUUUAACAUAAGACAAAUCCAAGACAUUAUUGAUUAUUCUGAAAAAUUUAAUGUAGAUGGUGCAAUUUUAUUUUUAGACUUUACUAAAGCUUUCGACUCACUUGAGUGGUGCUUUAUGUUUGAAUCUUAAAAAAAAAUUGGUUUUAAAAAAGAAUUCAUAAAAUGGGUUGAAACUAUGUAUACAGACAUAAAAGGAUGUAUUUUAAAUAAUGGAUGGGUGUCUGCCCCCUUCAAUACAUUUCGUGGGAUUAGACAAGGAUGUCCGUUAUCCUCGUUAAUUUUUGUAUUGUGUGUUGAAAUAAUGGCAAUAAAAUUAAGAGAAAAUAAAGAAUUAAAAGGAUUUGAAAUCAAAUUAGAUGGAAAAUCUUGCUCACUAAAAAUAUGUCAACUGGCAGAUGACACUCAAUUGUUUUUAAAAACACGCAAAGAUAUAAGUAUUGCCCUUAAUAUCAUUGAAACUUUUGGAAGCCUUUCUGGGCUCAAACUGAAUAGAAACAAAACAGAAGGCUUAUGGCUUGGCAAAUUUAAAAAGUCAAAAGAUAAAUUUGAAAAUAUAAACUGGAAACAAGACCACAUUAAAAGUCUAGGAAUAUACUUUGGAUACAAUUAUCAAGAAUGUCAAAAAUUAAACACAGAGAAACAAAUAGAUAAAUGUGAAAAAUUGAUUCAAGGAUGGAACAAACGAAACUUAACAUUAAUAGGAAAAAUUACUGUAGUAAAGUCCCUAAUUUUUCCAAACCUAACAUACACAGCAUCAUGUAUGAUAAUAACACAUGAAAUAAAACAAAAGUUCAAAAAUUUAAUAUAUAAUUUUAUAUGGAGCGGAAAAAAAGA
rnacentral:lncRNA from 1 species